rnacentral:rRNA from 1 species
UGGGGAAUUUUGGACAAUGGGCGCAAGCCUGAUCCAGCCAUGCCGCGUGAGUGAAGAAGGCCUUCGGGUUGUAAAACUCUUUCGUCGGGGACGAUAAUGACGGUACUAUUUAUAAGGUCCGGCUAACUACGUGCCAGCAGCCGCGGUAAUACGUAGGGACCAAGCGUUGUUCGGAUUUACUGGGCGUAAAGGGCGCGUAGGCGGCAAUUCAAGUCAUCUGUGAAAUCUCCGGGCUUAACUCGGAACGGUCAGAUGAUACUGCUUUGCUAGGGUGCAGAAGGGGCAAUCGGAAUUCUUGGUGUAGCGGUGAAAUGCGUAGAUAUCUGAAGGAACACCAGUGGCGAAGGCGGCUUCCUGGACCAAUACUGACACUGAGACGCGAAAGCGUGGGGAGCAAACAGGAUUAGAUACCCAUGUAAGUCCCUGAGCGGGCUGGCAAGGCGCAU